rnacentral:rRNA from 1 species
GAUGAACGCUGGCGGCGUGCUUAACACAUGCAAGUCGAACGGAAAGGCCCAAGCUUGCUUGGGUACUCGAGUGGCGAACGGGUGAGUAACACGUGGGUGAUCUGCCCUGCACUUCGGGAUAAGCCUGGGAAACUGGGUCUAAUACCGGAUAGGACCACAUUUUGGAUGGUGUGGUGGAAAGUUUUUCGGUGUGGGAUGAGCUCGCGGCCUAUCAGCUUGUUGGUGGGGUAAUGGCCUACCAAGGCGUCGACGGGGAGCCGGCCUGAGAGGGUGUACGGCCACAUUGGGACUGCACGACGGGCCGGACUCCUGCGGGUGGCAGCAGUGGGGAAUAUUGCACAAUGGGCGCAAGCCUGAUGCAGCGACGCCGCGUGGGGGAUGACGGCCUUCGGGUUGUAAACUCCUUUCGCUAGGGACGAAGCGUUUUUGUGACGGUACCUGGAGAAGAAGCACCGGCUAACUACGUG